rnacentral:rRNA from 1 species
UGCAAGUCGAGCGGUAAGGCCCCUUCGGGGGUACACGAGCGGCGAACGGGUGAGUAACACGUGAGCAACCUACCCUCAACUUUGGGAUAAGCCUCGGAAACGGGGUCUAAUACCGGAUAAUACUUCCUGUCUCAUGGGGGGGGGUUGAAAGUUCUGGCGGUUGGGGAUGGGCUCGCGGCCUAUCAGCUUGUUGGUGGGGUAAUGGCCUACCAAGGCGUCGACGGGUAGCCGGCCUGAGAGGGCGACCGGCCACACUGGGACUGAGACACGGCCCAGACUCCUACGGGAGGCAGCAGUGGGGAAUAUUGCGCAAUGGACGAAAGUCUGACGCAGCAACGCCGCGUGAGGGAUGACGGCCUUCGGGUUGUAAACCUCUUUCAGCAGGGACGAAGCGAGAGUGACGGUACCUGCAGAAGAAGGACCGGCCAACUACGUGCCAGCAGCCGCGGUAAUACGUAGGGUCCGAGCGUUGUCCGGAAUUAUUGGGCGUAAAGGGCUCGUAGGCGGUUCGUCACGUCGGGAGUGAAAACUCGGGGCUUAACCCCGAGCCUGCUUCCGAUACGGGCAGACUAGAGGUAGGCAGGGGAGAGCGGAACUCCUGGUGUAGCGGUGGAAUGCGCAGAUAUCAGGAAGAACACCGGUGGCGAAGGCGGCUCUCUGGGCCUUACCUGACGCUGAGGAGCGAAAGCGUGGGUAGCGAACAGGAUUAGAUACCCUGGUAGUCCACGCCGU